CUUGCUUUCCCUGGCUCCAGUCUAAAAGAGGUGGCUGUUAGAGGCUGCUGGGCCCUCACUGUCCCUGACACACUCUGAGCUUGCUUGGGGAGAGGCAAGAGGUUCUGUGGGGCCACUGCUGUGAGGAAAUGUCCUGAGCAUAGCCAUGAAUGGGGUUAGACAGGGCCAAAGGGGGAUGAAUUACAGAUAAUAUAUUUGCCGAAGUCUAGGAAGCUGGUGUGAUUACAAAUAGCCCUGCUAAUGGCGGAGUAAUCACAUGCAAAGCCCAUACCAUAAUUGAUUUGUGUUAGGAUUAAUGUCUCCCCCGCUACUGAAACUUGUGCACUUUUCUCCCUGCUGACAUUUCCUAGAGCUUACAGUUCCUGGUGGGGAUGAGCUACAAAACUUCGGACUGAUCCCAGAGUCACUGGGAAGGAUGGCUUGGAAGCUGGCUCCAGAAAGUGAGCAGGGAGAUAGCCCCACAGGCCGUAUUUGAAAACCAUCAAAAGGUACCUGGGUGAAGGUGGAAUUAAGACACCGCCCACCCCCCUCUACUUUUUACUGUUAUCUCAUCCAUACCUUGAAGGCUGAAAGUGCUGACACUCGUGUCCCCACCUGGUUCACACAGAAUAUGAGGUCAUGCUUGACGUGUACAGAUUGCUAACUUCUAAGAAGUACCAUGUCAGCAGUUACAUCAAUGUCUCAAGAUGAGAAGAAACAGAACCAGCAGAAUCAGCCUGUCCUUUCUCCCAUUUCAAGUUAACUCUCAAGAAAAAAAAAAAAAAUUCAAACAAACUAACAAAAAACCACAUUAAAUCAACAUCCCAGAUAACUGUACAACAUCACUGACUUCCAGCUAGAUCAACUGUUUU